UAUUCCUAUAAGUUAAAAGAGUUGAGGGGAGCAUUUUGAUUUUUUUUUUCAAAUGAUAUGUGGAAACAUUUGUCAUUCACAUUUGAUCAGGAUUCUAUGAUUACAUUGCAUAUGUAAACUUCACUUCAAUCGUCUAUGUAUUUUUCCUUUAUUCCUCUUUGCUUAAUGGUGGCGAUAUAAUUUCCUUGCUUUCACUUUAUUUUCCACUGUGCACUUGGAACAUAACCUUUUAUGCACUGUGUGUUCGAAUCUCACAAAUGCUUAAGGACGAAGUCUUUGUUGCUUAAAGUUAGUAGACCACAUCAGGGUAAAAUACUUCUGUGCUUUGCAUAUCUACCAGAGCAAAACAAAAUUGAUAGUGAAAUAAUGACUGUAUAGAGUUAUUAUCCCUGUCUCUUACAGAAGAGGAAAUAUAGGCUUAAUUUUACUCCUGUUUAACUUCUAAGCUAGUAAACUAUCUGAUCAAGUUGUUCUGAAGACUGACUGUAUAUACCUUAAUGUCACUAGAUGUGCUUUAUGUCAAGCCCCUUACAACUACUCAAAAUAUCACUCUUAAAUGAA
rnacentral:lncRNA from 1 species